GCCUGCAGCUAUACCACCUUGUGCUCUGCUUCUGUAAGCUCUCAUAAGCUAAAAAGGGCUGGGCGGGGCCAGUACUUGGUUAGGUGACCUCCAAGGAAGACCUAGGUGCUGCAAGAA
rnacentral:rRNA from 1 species